GGUUGGUUUGAAGGUAGCGAGUUAUCUCAACUGAUUGCUCACAGUCAGUUACGGGUCCAACUCCUUAUUCUGUUCCUUCCCCUGUUACUACUGCACUUGACUAAUCAAAA
ensembl:Y_RNA Y_RNA Y RNA